UACGUAGGUGGCGAGCGUUGUCCGGAUUUACUGGGCGUAAAGAGCGCGUAGGCGGUCGUACAAGUCGCGUGUGAAAGCCCCCGGCUCAACUGGGGAGGGUCACGCGAUACUGUUCGACUCGAAGGCAGGAGAGGGAAGUGGAAUUCCCGGUGUAGUGGUGAAAUGCGUAGAUAUCGGGAGGAACACCAGUGGCGAAGGCGACUUCCUGGCCUGUUCUUGACGCUGAGGCGCGAAAGCUAGGGUAGCAAACGGG
rnacentral:rRNA from 1 species